CUUGGUGACACAAGCGACGAGGCCACACCUGUUCCCAUACCGAACACAGAAGUUAAGCUCGUCUGCGCUGAUGAUAGCCGUAAGGCAAAAGUAGGCCGUCGCCAGGA
rnacentral:rRNA from 1 species